GGAAGUAAAAGUCGCAACAAGGUCUCCGUUGGUGAACCAGCGGAGGGAUCAUUACAGAGUUGCAAAACUCCCAAACCAUUGUGAACGUUACCUAUCCCGUUGCUUCGGCGGGCGGCCCGGGCCCCGCGCCCGGCGCCCCCCGGCCCCCCGUGGGCGCCCGCCGGAGGUAAACCAAACCCUUGAAUUGCAUGGCCUCUCUGAGUCUUCUGUACUGAAUAAGUCAAAACUUUCAACAACGGAUCUCUUGGUUCUG
rnacentral:misc_RNA from 1 species